AAGUCAGAGGAAGGGGUGGUCGACGGUAGGUCAGUAUGCCCCGAAUAUCCCGGGCUACACGCGGGCUACAAUGGACUGGACAAUGGGUAACGACACCGAAAGGUGAGGUCAAUCUCUUAAACCAGUUCUUAGUCCGGAUUGAGGGCUGUAACUCGCCCUCAUGAAGAUGGAAUCCGUAGUAAUCGCAUUUCAAAACAGUGCGGUGAAUACGUCCCUGCUCCUUG
rnacentral:rRNA from 1 species